AAAUUGAAGAGUUUGAUCAUGGCUCAGAUUGAACGCUGGCGGCAGGCCUAACACAUGCAAGUCGAGCGGCAGCGGGAAAGUAGCUUGCUACUUUC
rnacentral:rRNA from 1 species